UACGUAGGCAGCAAGCGUUGUUCGGAGUUACUGGGCGUAAAGGGUGUGUAGGCGGUUGUUUAAGUUUGGUGUGAAAUCUCCCGGCUCAACUGGGAGGGUGCGCCGAAUACUGAAUGACUAGAGUGCGGGAGAGGAAAGUGGAAUUCCUGGUGUAGCGGUGAAAUGCGUAGAUAUUAGGAGGAACACCGGUGGUGUAGACGGCUUUCUGGACCGUAACUGACGCUGAGACACGAAAGCGUGGGUAGCAAACAGG
rnacentral:rRNA from 1 species